rnacentral:rRNA from 1 species
AUUGAACGCUGGCGGCAGGCUUAACACAUGCAAGUCGAGCGGAGUGAUGGUGCUUGCACUAUCACUUAGCGGCGGACGGGUGAGUAAUGCUUAGGAAUCUGCCUAUUAGUGGGGGACAACAUCUCGAAAGGGAUGCUAAUACCGCAUACGUCCUACGGGAGAAAGCAGGGGACCUUCGGGCCUUGCGCUAUCAGAUGAGCCUAGGUCGGAUUAGCUAGUAGGUGAGGUAAUGGCUCACCUAGGCGACGAUCCGUAACUGGUCUGAGAGGAUGAUCAGUAACACUGGAACUGAGACACGGUCCAGACUCCUACGGGAGGCAGCAGUGGGGAAUAUUGAACAAUGGGCGAAAGCCUGAUCCAGCCAUGCCGCGUGUGUGAAGAAGGUCUUCGGAUUGUAAAGCACUUUAAGUUGGGAGGAAGGGUUGUACGCUAAUACCGUGCAAUUUUGACGUUACCGACAGAAUAAGCACCGGCUAACUCUGUGCCAGCCGCCGCCGUAACAC